rnacentral:rRNA from 1 species
AGUGAACGCUGGCGGCGUGCUUAACACAUGCAAGUCGAACGAGAACGGAUUAUAGCUUGCUAUAAUUGUCAGCUAAGUGGCGCACGGGUGAGUAAUGUAUAGGUAAUAUGCCUCUUACUAAGGGAUAACAAAUGGAAACGUUUGCUAAUACCUUAUACUCCUUAUUAACAUAAGUUAAUAAGGGAAAGAUUUAUUGGUAAGAGAUUAGCCUGUAUUGUAUCAGUUAGUUGGUGGGGUAAUGGCCUACCAAGACUAUGACACAUAACUGGUUUGAGAGGAUGAUCAGUCACACUGGAAAUGAUACACGGUCCAGACUCCUACGGGAGGCAGCAGUGGGGAAUAUUGCACAAUGGACGAAAGUCUGAUGCAGCAACGCCGCGUGGAGGAUGACACAUUUCGGUGCGUAAACUCCUUUUAUAUGAGAAGAUAAUGACGGUAUUAUAUGAAUAAGCACCGGCUAACUCCGUGCCAGCCGCCGCCGUAA